rnacentral:lncRNA from 1 species
CAGGAAUCCCUGCUCUUCCUUCUCAAAAGCCUUCCCCUGGGCUGCUACUUCAACAUCUACUGCUAUGGAGCAACAUCUGUGGGCAUCUAUCCGCAAAGUGUUGAAUAUACCCAAGACAACCUGACCAAGGCAAUGCAACGCAUCCCGUCCACCAGCUCUUGUCUGGGUGAUGCUGACCUGCUUGGAACUCUUCGCACAAUCUACAAUACGCCCCAGCCCCACGGACAUGCACGACAGCUCUUCAUCUUCAUGACUGGGCUACCUCCUGACAAGGAAGCCAUUGCUGCUGAGGUCUGCCAUCAUCGCAACAGCCACCGG